GAUGAACGCUGGCGGCGUGCCUAAUACAUGCAAGUCGAGCGAACGGACGAGAAGCUUGCUUCUCUGAUGUUAGCGGCGGACGGGUGAGUAACACGUGGAUAACCUACCUAUAAGACUGGGAUAACUUCGGGAAACCGGAGCUAAUACCGGAUAAUAUUUUGAACCGCAUGGUUCAAAAGUGAAAGACGGUCUUGCUGUCACUUAUAGAUGGAUCCGCGCUGCAUUAGCUAGUUGGUAAGGUAACGGCUUACCAAGGCAACGAUGCAUAGCCGACCUGAGAGGGUGAUCGGCCACACUGGAACUGAGACACGGUCCAGACUCCUACGGGAGGCAGCAGUAGGGAAUCUUCCGCAAUGGGCGAAAGCCUGACGGAGCAACGCCGCGUGAGUGAUGAAGGUCUUCGGAUCGUAAAACUCUAUAAUUAGGGAAGAACAUAUGUGUAAGUAACUGUGCACAUCUUGACGGUACCUAAUCAGAAAGCCACGGCUAACUACGUG
rnacentral:rRNA from 1 species